rnacentral:lncRNA from 1 species
UAUAACGUAGUGAGGGGAUUGCCAAAGCUAAAGGAGUCAUUUUAAAAAUAUGUAAAGAUUGCAUGAAGUUUAAGCAAUAAUCUAAUCCAAAUCCCCAAUUGCAAUUGAUACAAACAUUUGGACCCAUAGAACUCUUGCAUAUAAAUUUAAUUGGAGUUAUGAACACUGAGAGUUUAGGUGGUAAGAAAAACAUCUUUGUUUGUAUGUGUUGAUGAUUGCUCAAGGUAUGCUUGGGAAUGAAAAUUAUGAGCGAUGA